ACCGAUUUAGUGACCGCGGUAUAAUAACGUUAUAACUAAUCAGUUGCUAAAUCGGUCGCUAAUUUAAAAUAUUUACUGAAUUACUCUACCCUCACUAACCCUAUCUCACCCUCACAAUCACCAUUAUCACCUUCUCAAACAGUUACUGAGCUACACUUCUCCCCCUCAAACAGUCGUCGUCUUUUCCAAUCUCGAUGCCGUCGCCAUUGUCUUGUAGACUCGCAGCCGUCAUCGUCGUCUUCUUCAGCUUCAGCGCCGUCGUCGUUGUCUUCUGGACUCAACAUCUCACGGUGCUUUCUCUCGCUUCUACAGCGACAAAGAUAGGGUUCUCAGCGAAGAGGAUCAGGCCAAAGAGAACGUCUAUGUCAAGAAACGAGAGAGAGAGGUCGGAGAAACAGAAGUAGCAAGCUGAGAAGGAAAAGGCAAAGAUGGACAAAAAGUGCUUCUAACAAGGGUACAGCAUUUGUAGUAUUAGCAAGAUUGCUUGCUUCCUCAAAAUUAGUUAAGGGAACCUUAGCUGACCAUACCUUCUUACUUUUGGGUGCUGGAGAGGCUGGAACUGUUAUUUAAACAUAUGGAUAUAUUUCUGAACACUAUCUUAUUGGAUAGACAAAAGCUUCAAUGGAAGAAACCUGCAAGAAGAUUUGGCUUGUCGACUCUAUUCCCUAAUCGAAAUUCUGAUCCAUUCUAUUAGGGCUUUUUCACCAUAUCUAUUUUAAAAUCUUCUCCAACCACAGAAAUCUGCUAAUUAGAUUUUCUCACUAGAAGAACACACGAGCCUGCAAAAAUGGCUUACGAUAGUUUUUCUAGUUCUUUUUUCUUCUGCAAAACCGAGUUAUUAUGAAGCUUACAUUUGUAAUAUAUCUCUUUGUUAGUUAGCUCUAUAUUUAUCUAGAAGUUAGUUUAGUUAGUGGCAAGAAUAGAAGAUUGAGAUCUCUCUGCACAUAGCAGAAUCUUAAAGGUUUUUCUCUGUUUUCUAUUCUCUCCUCACACAUCAGCUCUGUUUUAAUUUAGUAAUUUAUGUAUUUGGUAUUUAGUGAUUUUGUGUCUUGCAUCCCAUUUUUUAAUAACAGAGAUUGCUACCUGUAAUAGAUGAGUUGAAGCAUUGUGACUUGAAUUUAAACUCCUUGGGAACAAAUUGAACAAUUAGAGAUAAAUCCUAGUUGUAAUAGUUGUAAUAUUAUUCUACUCUCUUGCUCCUUGGGCCUGUUGCUUCUUUGCUCUGCUCUCUCUUGUUUGUGGUUUUGCUAGGAGAAACCUUGAAGGCAUGCUUAUAAUUUUAUGGUUCUAGUGCAACUUUUUAUCAGAACUCUUCUGAUUUUUAAUUCUGUCCUUUUGGAAAGCUUUAAUUUCAGAAUCUUAGAUGUUUCUUUGCUUCGUCAGGGGUCUAGUGCCCUUCUAGAAGUAUCAACUAUGGUAUAAUUUUGGUUCCUCUCUAUUUUGUUUAGCUGCUAAUCUCUUAUUAUUUAAAUGUCACCAUUUUGAUUCCUACAGUUAGUAAAACUAUGUCAAAUUAUUGAGUCACCAAUGGUAUUUUUCUUGUACAUACUACAUGGAAGCCACAACAUCACUUUCCUUCUUUGACCUCCUCUUCCUUUUUCCCAGAUCUCCAACUCUUUCCUCCUCCUUGAUCUUAGCUAUACUCUUCAACCAACUUUUUCAUUCUACUAUUGCCGCCUUCUUUCCUCAGUUGAAUCACAAGGUAAGCCUAAUGGCACUGCAUUCACAUUAUGGAUCAGCAGCAAUGUGGGUUAAUAAAGGUCGAUCCUCCAUGCUGCAUAAUGCCUGCUGAAUGUUGGACCAUCUUUACUGGUUAUCACAACUAUUAUGAAUUCUUCCCUCAUCCUAUAUGACUUGGCAUGACUUGUCUAUUUUAGGGAUCCAUUAGCAUACGAAUUAGUUUUCAUUAGUAAGUGUUACUCAUUACUUGAUUAGUAUAAAUAGAUAAGAUAGGGUAGAGGGAAGAGUAUCUAGUCAUUUGAGUAAUUGGGAAUGUUGGGAGAGUUGAGAAGUCUCUUGAAUAUCCUUACUAUAAUUCUAACUAAUCAAUAAAACAAUGCAUUUUGAUUCCAGUAAUAACAGUCAAUCUGUGAUAUGUUACAUUCUUUGUCAUAACAUAUUUCUCAUAAUGGUUUUACAGGUUCCUAUUGUUGUAAUACUGAGCAUCAUCUUGGUUGGAGCUACUUUAGGUGAUAGAAUUGUUAGAAAAUUUUAUUUUUCCGAAACAAGAUGGUACUAAGCAUGCUCGGGUCGCUAAGUUUGUAAUAUUGAAAUGGGGAAUGCGCAUCAUAGGAUCCGCCUUCAUUUUUCAGUUCCUAGUGAAAUGGGCUUCACCCAGGCUUCAGCCCAAUUGAGGUGCAGCAUUGGCAACCUCAUAGGCCACUUAUGUAUUGUAUGAAAUUAAAAAAGAAAAAUUAAGGUCAAAGGUAAAUAUAAUUGAAUACAUUUAGUCAUAGGAUUAGUGUUUCUUAGCACACUUUUGAUUUAAGUCCAAUCACUAUAUAUUAGUAUGGAAAGUAUGAAUUCACUAAAUUGUAAAACUCUCGCAUUCAAUAUGCUUAUCAAUAUUAUAAAAAACAAGAGAGAAUUAACAUCAACCACCAAUGGAAGCAAACAAGAAGCAUGAAUGAAAUAUGAAAAGCCACAAAUAUAUUAUUUUAAAAAAUAAAGUAGUCUUGGCAAAGUGUCCUGUUAAGAAAAAUCAAAUAAAAAAGAAGAGCAGCAGAAAAAGAAAAACCUAUUAACUCUGAGGCAAGCUAUGACACCAGAAUUCUCAAUCUAGAAUAUUUUUUUGUCAAGUGAAGAUGCUGAAACUGAAAGAUGAACCGAGACUGAGGUGCUCUGCAUAAAACUCUACCACAUACAGAAGAUACAUGACAUAAAGAAGAAGAUAAAGAGUGCAAUAAUUGGCAAAGUAUUGCAGUGGCCAUGGUAAGAUAAAAGAUUUGCAAGAAAAUUAUCUAAGAAGGGUCACAUUAUAACUUGGACUCAAGAGCUGUUGAUUCAUUAGACAGAAUGAGGGAGGAAAGUAAAAAAAUAUACCAAUUUUUGUCGUGGUGCUCUUGAAAGAGGCUCGAGUUAGUUAUACCAGAGUGUACAAGUUGAGAUAGAGACAAUUGCUUGGUCUAAGUAGAUAUUGAAUAGAGCAUGAUUAUGUUGUUCAUGAAUUAUUUUUACCAUAUUUUAGUCUAGAUUGUGGAUCAUAAAUCUGAUGUAUUUUGAAAAAUUUAAUAUUUUAAAUUCUA